ACAUAAUAAAUAUGAUGUGUGAGGAAACUACAAGUGUGUGAGAUUGUAGGCAUAAUCAUCUCCAAGUCACAAAAUUAAUUACAACGUUAUCGGCGAUUACAGGUGACGGAGACACGCAUUGUUAGCGGCAACACAUCAUGUUUUGAAUGUCUUCAAGGGAUCUCCGUCGCUGAUUCUGCCAUUUCGUAUGAGUUAUUUGCCAAAAUGCGUGGCGAGAUGGAUUUCGCACUUCGGAGCAAGUUUGACAAGAAAAUGACAAA